AUUGAACGCUGGCGGCAGGCCUAACACAUGCAAGUCGAGCGGUAGCACAGAGAGCUUGCUCUCGGGUGACGAGCGGCGGACGGGUGAGUAAUGUCUGGGAAACUGCCUGAUGGAGGGGGAUAACUACUGGAAACGGUAGCUAAUACCGCAUAACGUCGCAAGACCAAAGUGGGGGACCUUCGGGCCUCAUGCCAUCAGAUGUGCCCAGAUGGGAUUAGCUAGUAGGUGGGGUAACGGCUCACCUAGGCGACGAUCGCUAGCUGGUCUGAGAGGAUGACCAGCCACACUGUAACUGAGACACGGUCCAUACUCUUACGGGAGGAAGCAGUGGGGAAUAUUGCACAAUGGGCGCAAGCCUGAUGCAGCCAUGCCGCGUGUGUGAAGAAGGCCUUCGGGUUGUAAAGCACUUUCAGCGGGGAGGAAGGCGGUGAGGUUAAUACCUUUGCUCAUUGACGUUACCCGCAGAAGAAGCACCGGCUAACUCCGUGCCAGCAGCCGCCGUAA
rnacentral:rRNA from 1 species